rnacentral:rRNA from 1 species
GAUGAACGCUGGCGGCGUGCCUAAUACAUGCAAGUCGAGCGAACAGACCAUGAGCUUGCUCCUCUGACGUUAGCGGCGGACGAGUCAGUAACACGUUGAUCACCUCCCUAUGAUACUGGGAUAACUUCGGGACUCCUACGCUAAUGCCGGAUAAUAUAUUGAACCGCAUGGUGCAAUAGUUAAAGGCGGGUUUUCGGUCACUUGUCGAUGGAUCUGCGCCGCAUUGGCUAGUUGGUAAGGUAACGGCCUACCAAGCGAACGAUGCGUAUCCGACGUGAAAGGGUGAUAGGCCACCCUGGAAGUUAGACACGCUCCAUACUACUACGAGAGGCAGCAGUAGGGAACCUUACGCAAUGGGCGAGAGUCUGGCGGAGUAACGGCGAGUGAGUGACGGAGGUGCUGGGAUCGUAAUACCCUGUUAUGAGGGAAGAACAAAUGUGUAUGUAACUGUGGACGUAUUGACGGUACCUAAACAGAAAGCAACGGCUAACUACGUG